GACGGGGGGUCCAAGCGUUGUUCGGAAUCAUUGGGCGUAAAGCGGGCGUAGGUGGCCAUGUAAGUCAGGAGUGAAAGCCCUGGGCUCAACCCAGGAAGUGCACUUGAAACUGCGAGGCUUGAGUCCCGGAGAGGGUGGCGGAAUUCUCGGUGUAGAGGUGAAAUUCGUAGAUAUCGAGAGGAGCACCGGUGGCGAAGGCGGCUACCUGGACGGUGACUGACGCUGAGACGCGAAAGCGUGGGGAGCAAACAGG
rnacentral:rRNA from 1 species